rnacentral:rRNA from 1 species
GAUCAUGGCUCAGGAUGAACGCUAGCUACAGGCUUAACACAUGCAAGUCGAGGGGCAGCAUGUUGGUUGCUUGCAACCGAUGAUGGCGACCGGCGCACGGGUGAGUAACGCGUAUCCAACCUACCCUUGUCCAUCGGAUAACCCGUCGAAAGGCGGCCUAACACGAUAUGCGGUUCACAGCAGGCAUCUAACGUGAACGAAUGUGAAGGAGAAGGAGUGGGAUGCGU